rnacentral:piRNA from 1 species
UCCGUGUCCCUGCCAGACAUGUGCCUGUGU